CGCCUGUGAUAUGACCACAUUUUCACUCUUGAAUUUUAGGCGUUCGGUACUGGAAGUGUGACUAAAGUUGCAGUCAGUGACAAGUAUGACAACGAACGAGACGAGUCAUGGGUUUCCAAUGGAUGAGAGAACUAAAGACGAUAUACAUGUGGACAAAGAGUCUGCAGAUCAGAGGGCCAAAUGGAAUUCACGUAUUGAAUACAUCCUCUCCCUUGUUGGCUUUUGUGUUGGAUUCGGGAAUUUGUGGAGGUUCCCGUACGUCUGUAACAGAAAUGGCGGAGGCGCCUUCCUGCUGCCGUUCCUACUCUGUAUCUUAAUCAUUGGGUUCCCCGUGUUCUUCUUGGAAGCCUCA